GGAAAAUUCACAGGCAAGUCUCAGUGCAAAUGGAAGAGGCCCCCAGAAACUGUUGACAGGUAUUUGGGGUUAGGUUGGUUGACAACUGGUAAAAGUAAAUGGGUGGUUUGGGAGGGGGAAUGUAGGUUAUGUCUGAUUAUUGAAUGUGCUUCACACAGGAAUAUAUAAAAUUUGUCCAACUAGGCAGUGAAGAAACACCUGGGUAGCAGCACAGUGAUUCACAGAUUUUUGAGUAAAUAUUUCCGGGUAUCACUUCGAGCCUGGGCAAAAACCUGCACAUGGAGACUUGCCAAAUCAACACCCAGGUCAGUAACCUCAGAGCACUGUAUCAAAGCAAAGGCAUCUGCGCAUGUCUGUCUGAAUGCAAGAGUUGAGGAAUUCUGGGCAACCAGGUUCAGCCUCCAGGACUCACACCUCAGUCACUUGACUUCAGGCCAACUGCUCCAUGUCAUUUUGUCCCAAGCUUUUAUUUUUUUUUUUUUAAAGAAAACACUUAUCUGUUUUUCCUUUGGCUCCCCUGGGGUACAGUAGAAAUGAAUCCAGUAUCUAUUUAAAGCCCAAGAACAUCAAAGGCCUGUGCCACACUGGAAGAAUCUUCUGAGCAAGGGUGCCACAGGGCCACACUGGAUGCGUGACAGAACCAACCCGAAUCAGAAGACAGAGAACAUAACGCUGUCUGAACAUGUGGGCAAGUCUGACAACUCCCUGCUCCCGACUCAUCAUGUGAAAAGACAUGUUAUCCCUCUGCUUACCCAAAUAUCACAGUUAAAGAAGGAUGUUUAAGAGGCAGAAUUCUAUAAUGCACAGCACUGCGAAUCCCAGUUUGAGUUCCAGAUCUGAAGACUUGGCAAGAAACUUCACAUCUAAAAUGUGCCUAUAAGCUCAUUUUUCAUAGAUUACGAUUUCCAACUGUAGUGACAACUAAAUGUUUGAGGUAGUUUGAUUCUGAGAACUAUAUUGUAUUUUGUUCUCUGGCCAUUACAGAAAAUAUAGAAAUCAUAGAAUAAAACAAGAGGAAAAAAGGGAAUAUGAUAUACUAUGACUCUUGAGAAAAGGAGUAUGUUUGUUAUAUUUCCUAUCAAAGGCAAUAUUUCUAUAUUUUGUAUUAUUUUAAAACUAAGAAGUUAACACACUGUGGUAUCUUCCCUACUAAAAAUAACACAAUGAUGUUACAGAUAUCAUUCAACUAGUAACACACUAUGGUUAUUUUCCUAUAUUAUUAAAAAUGCUUCAUGGCUGCAAGUAACUUCUCUGCAGUUUUACAUAAAAUGUACUUAUCCACUUCCACCUUGCUGAAUUUUUCUCUUUGCUACUAAAGGGAAAAAAUAGUGCAAUUACUACUUUCACCAGACAAAGAGCAUUAUGAACAAUUUUAGACUCUUUUAAACACUUCUGUUUGCUUUGUCCCAAAAAAUAAAUCAAUUUACACAAUAGUAGUAAUAUGGGAGUACCUGCCUUACUAAAUUCUUACUAACAUUUGAACAUUAACAAUUCUUGUUACUUUCUGUCAAAUGGCACCUCAUUAUUUGCCUUUCUUUGACUAUUAGUAAUGUUAAUUUUUUCCCAUAAGUUUAUAGGAAAACUGUACUUUUUUGUGGAUUCUGUGCGUAUUGUAUAGUAUACUAUCUUGUCUAUUCAUUCUUCCAAAUAAUCACUAAAUAUCUGGGACAAUGCCUUAAAACCAUUUAGUCUGGAAAGCCCAUCAUCUUUAUAAUGCUUAGUUCUAUCAUCUGUGAGCACAGUUCGCCUCUGUAAUUAAUCUGUAUUUUGUUUUGUUUUUAAAUAUUUUAUUUAUUUAUUCAUGAGAGACACAGAGAAAGAGAGAGAGAGAGAGAGAGAGAGAG